CGGGGCAAAGGUCUAGCCAUGCAGCUGUUUAAAGCAGGUGAGCCAACCAAGUCAUGGCUGUCCAGCUGAACUGAAAGGCCGGGACAAGAGAUCAUCAAUCCCAGAAGCAGCCAAGAUGGCCGCGGUGCAUGAUCUGUACAUGGCCAGCCCAGAUGAAGGGAUCUGCUCGCCGAUCUCGCAAGACUCCUUUGGCUGCUGUCCCAUCAGAACUUGUCUCUUGAAUGAGGGAUGGCUCGAUGGUGCUCAGAUGAGAGAGUACCGCCGGAGGAGCGGCAUGUGACUAAUCAGGACUGGGCUCAGCUCCCUGCCUCCCAAACCAUAUUCUGCUGAUUCAAAAGGCCACCGAGACUACAUGGUA